UGUCAUCGGACUUACGUAGCGGUGGGAGA
rnacentral:sRNA from 1 species